AUACUUACCUGGCAGGGGAGAUACCAUGAUUAUGAAGGUGGUUUUCUCAGGGCAAGGCUUAUCUAUUAUACUCUGGAUUGUGCUGACCCCUGCGAUUUCCCCAAACACUGGAAACUUGACUGCAUCAUUUGUGGUAGUGAGGGACUGUGUUAGAGUUUCCCCUAA